rnacentral:tRNA from 1 species
UGGCUCAGACGGUAAAGCGUCUGGCUACAAUACAGGAGACCCAGGUUCGAUCCCUGG